AGAGAAGAUAUGGACUGCCACCGGUCUUGGAUUUUCACAACUCAAACCGACCGAAUUCAUGUUGCAAUCAAUUGCUAGUUGUCGUUUCUGGAAUCCUUAGAUUUCAUUAUUUAAGAGAAGAGAUCCAGGAGUUCUUCAUUUCAAUUCUCGUUCAACAGUUUUUGUUUGGCAAAAUCACAUGGCUUCAUUUGGCAAAGUUUAUCUGUUUGCUUGGCUCUUGUGGGGAAGCUUAGGGGUUCAAGUGACAGGCGAUGAUUCCGAGAUCAGACGUGUCUGCGACAAGACAGACUACUUUUACUAUUGCUACGAUUGCUUGAGUGGAAAAAAGGGAUUCAACAGCAACGGAGCAGACUUCGGUGGCAAAUCCAUCUUGUGCACUAGUAAUGCAUUUGUCAUCGUGCGAAGAACAACUUUAGAGUUUUCAUUAAAUUCUACCGGACAUUUUCAAGAAACGACAAAGGUCUGUUUGGAAAAAUUUGACUCAUGCAUGGGUUAUUGUAGAGCCGCACUUAAAGCAUGGAGACUGAAACGAAAAUCAGAUGCCAUCCAGUUUCUUAAUUUUGGUUAUGAAAAGUAUUUCGACUGUGAUAAGCUGAUAACAGACCCCAUCUCGCAAGAAUAUGUCAAACAACUAACCAAAGCAAAAAAUCUCAUUGAGGUGUCUCUUAGAAUUGUCGCUCUCUCAUGAUCAGCAUUAGUUUUGCUCCAAAUUAAUUUGUAAAAUUGGAGUGUAUUAUUAUUAUUAUUAUUAUGUUAAUGUUCAUGGACUCCAGUUGACUUCAA